rnacentral:rRNA from 1 species
CUACGGGAGGCAGCAGUAGGGAAUAUUGCGCAAUGGGCGAAAGCCUGACGCAGCAAUGCCGCGUGUGUGAGGAAGGCCCUCGGGUUGUAAAGCACUGUCGCAGGGGAAAAACCGUAUGAGGUCCAAUAGGCCUCAUGCCUGAUGGUACCCUGAAAGGAAGCACCGGCUAACUCCGUGCCAGCAGCCGCGGUAAUACGGAGGGUGCAAGCGUUGUUCGGAUUUAUUGGGCGUAAAGCGCGCGCAGGCGGAUGAUCAAGUCAGGUGUGAAAUCUCGGGGCUCAACUCCGAAACUGCGCCUGAAACUGGUUAUCUAGAAUAUCUAAGAGGGCAGGGGAAUUUCGCAUGUAGGGGUAAAAUCCGUAGAGAUGCGAAGGAACACCAGAGGCGAAGGCGCCUGCCUGGGAGAUUAUUGACGCUGAGGCGCGAAAGCGUGGGGAGCAAACAGGAUUAGAUACCCCUGUAGUC